UACGAAGGGGGCUAGCGUUGUUCGGAAUCACUGGGCGUAAAGCGCACGCAGGCGGAUCGAUAAGUCGGGGGUGAAAGCCCGGGGCUCAACCUCGGAAUUGACUUCGAUACUGUCGGUCUCGAGUCCGGGAGAGGUGAGUGGAAUUCCUAGUGUAGAGGUGAAAUUCGUAGAUAUUAGGAAGAACACCAGUGGCGAAGGCGGCUCACUGGCCCGGUAUUGACGCUCAGGUCCGAAAGCCUGGGGAGCAAACAGG
rnacentral:rRNA from 1 species